rnacentral:rRNA from 1 species
UACGAAGGGGGCGAGCGUUGUUCGGAUUUACUGGGCGUAAAGGGCGCGCAGGCGGCUUUGUUUGUCAGGCGUGAAAGCCCCGGGCUUAACCUGGGAACUGCGUUUGAUACGGCAGGGCUAGAGUUCGGGAGAGGAGAGUGGAAUUCCCAGUGUAGCGGUGAAAUGCGCAGAUAUCAGGAAGAACACCCGUGGCGAAGGCGGCUCUCUGGGACGGUACUGACGCUGAGACGCGAAAGCGUGGGGAGCGAACAGG